rnacentral:misc_RNA from 1 species
CGAAUGUUAUGUAUAAACUUCUGCUCAAUGUUAAAUUCCAUUCUAAACCAUGUACAAUUAUUAUACAUGUACAAACACAUAAACACAAAUAUACUAACUUCAAAACUUUCUCAAAUAAUCUGUUUUAUUGAAGGAAAUAACCAGACAAGAAGAACACAAAUCCCAAAAGCAAUCCACCAUAUAUAAGCAGUGCCUUUUGGCCAGAAGUAAGAGUAUUACCACCUAACCCAUACUGCUGAUUCUGGGCAAACCCAGCAAUCUCCACACUCUUGCUAUCAAAGAAACUCUUCGCAGCACCGCAAGUCGCACACCUCCAAUCCUCCGGAAGCUUAUCAAACGGCAACCCAGGAGGAAUAGGAUAAGAGGGGUCUCCAGUAGCUUCAUUGUACUUGUACCCACAAGACCUACACUCAUAAAUCCCAGUAUUCAGCACUGCAAACUUCUCCUCAAGCCUCCUACUGUCAAAUUUCUCCUCCUCCUCCUGCUCCUGCUCGGAUUCCGAAGUGGGUGUCUCGGUAAUCGGUUGUUCUGAGAUGGGUUUGUCUUCUUGGGAGACAUCAAUAGAUUUGGGUUGUAGAUUGAAUUGGGGUUUUGGGUAUCUGUAAAAAGAUGAAACUGAGUGGGAUUUGAUGUGAAAUGGUGGGAGUGUGAGAUGGGUUUUGGUUUUUAGAGUGGAUGGUUGUGUCAGUGAAGGUGAUGAAGAUAGGUUGAAUGUGAAGGAAGCUCUACUAGUUGCUGAAGCCAUUCAAGAAGGGUGCUUUUUCUUCUUCACUGUUGAUUUGGAUGAAAAUGGAUCAGUGGUGUUUGAACUUUGAGUUCUUGGAGGGGUUUUGGUGUGUGGG